CAGUCGUACCGACGAGAAUUCAACUCUUCGAGUGCUAACUUGUGGACGUGCGUGAGCUUUAAAACCUCGCUGUUUGCAACGUUUGUAUUUUUUGGGUGUACUUUUUCGUAUGGUAGGCCAAUGUCAGUUUUGAUCACCAUAAAAUGAUCGGAAGAAUGUAGCUUCGAUCUCGUAUUGAAGUGUUAUAGCUUCUGGUAGAUAUGGUGACCGGAACUGAGGAUUGCAACGAAUACCCUUUGGGCUAUCCGUCUGACCUCUGAAAGUUGCUUAGGUCGCCGAAAGCAUGCUUACGGUUAUUUAAGUGACGGUCAACAGGUUAAACGCGAUUACAUUCGUAAGGACGUUGGCGUAAUGG
rnacentral:rRNA from 1 species